AGAUACCCUGUUACUUAUAGUUAAAAUUUUUUGGAAUAGUAAUAAUAAUGAAAUUUAACGGAUUUGGCGGCAAGAUAGCUAUUUAGAGGAACCUGCCCUGUAAACGAUAAGCCACGAGAUACUCUACUUUUGUUUGUAAUCAGUUUGUAUACCGCUGUUGUCAGUCAGUUUUCUUAGAAAACUUUCUAUCAUGAUAAAAUCAAGUACUUCAAGUAAAGGUGCAGCUUAUAUAGAAGAUAGAGGUGGGUUACAUUUAAAAUGAUUAAAACAGAUAAAGAUACUGAAAAUUCUUUUGAAGGUGGAUUUAAAUGUAAAGUUUAUGUAAACU
rnacentral:rRNA from 1 species